GUAGAGUUAAUUCAUUUACAGAGAUGAUCGUUUUGUUGGAAUCCCACAAAGGCCUCGCUCCGACCUACAACCCCCUCGGGUGAAGUGGUCCCCGCAACGGCAGUGUUCGGGCA
rnacentral:lncRNA from 1 species